UACGGAGGGGGCUAGCGUUGUUCGGAAUUACUGGGCGUAAAGCGCACGUAGGCGGCUUUGUAAGUUAGAGGCGAAAGCCCGGGGCUCAACCCCGGAACUGCCUUUAAGACUGCAUCGCUUGAAUCCAGGAGAGGUGAGUGGAAUUCCGAGUGUAGAGGUGAAAUUCGUAGAUAUUCGGAAGAACACCAGUGGCGAAGGCGGCUCACUGGCCUGGUAUUGACGCUGAGGUGCGAAAGCGUGGGGAGCAAACAGG
rnacentral:rRNA from 1 species